rnacentral:rRNA from 1 species
GGAAUCUUGGACAAUGGGGGCAACCCUGAACCAGCGACGCCGCGUGACCGAUGAAGGCCCUCGGGUCGUAAAGGUCUUUCGACGGGGACUAUAAUGAAGGUACCCGUAAAAGCAGAAGCGGCUAACUAUGUGCCAGCAGCCGCGGUAAUACAUAGGCUCCAAGCGUUGUUCGGAAUUACUGGGCGUAAAGCGAGUGUAGGCUGUCCGCCAAGUCGAUUGUGAAAUCUCCCGGCUCAACUGGGAGGGUGCGGUCGAAACUGGCGGACUAGAGUUCGGGAGAGGAGAGUGGAAUUCCUGGUGUAGCGGUGAAAUGCGUAGAUAUCAGGAGGAACACCGGCGGUGAAGACGGCUCUCUGGACCGAUACUGACGCUGAGACUCGAAAGCGUGGGGAGCAAACAGG